rnacentral:rRNA from 1 species
UACGUAGGUGGCAAGCGUUGUCCGGAAUUAUUGGGCGUAAAGCGCGCGCAGGUGGUUCUUUAAGUCUGAUGUGAAAGCCCACGGCUCAACCGUGGAAGGUCAUUGGAAACUGGGGAACUUGAGUGCAGAAGAGAAAAGCGGAAUUCCACGUGUAGCGGUGAAAUGCGUAGAGAUGUGGAGGAACACCAGUGGCGAAGGCGGCUUUUUGGUCUGUAACUGACGCUGAGGCGCGAAAGCGUGGGGAGCGAACAGG